rnacentral:rRNA from 1 species
CCUACGGGAGGCAGCAGUGGGGAAUAUUGCACAAUGGGGGAAACCCUGAUGCAGCGACGCCGCGUGAGUGAAGAAGUAUUUCGGUAUGUAAAGCUCUAUCAGCAGGGAAGAUAAUGACAGUACCUGACUAAGAAGCCCCGGCUAACUACGUGCCAGCAGCCGCGGUAAUACGUAGGGGGCAAGCGUUAUCCGGAUUUACUGGGUGUAAAGGGAGCGUAGACGGAAUGGCAAGUCUGAAGUGAAAUACCCGGGCUCAACCUGGGAACUGCUUUGGAAACUGUUGUUCUAGAGUGUUGGAGAGGUAAGUGGAAUUCCUGGUGUAGCGGUGAAAUGCGUAGAUAUCAGGAAGAACACCGGAGGCGAAGGCGGCUUACUGGACAAUAACUGACGUUGAGGCUCGAAAGCGUGGGGAUCAAACAGGAUUAGAUACCCGAGUAGUC